rnacentral:lncRNA from 1 species
CAAUCCUGUCCAGCAGCACUGCCUUUCUUCGCCCCUCGGACUCUAAACUAUUUGCCCCCUUAAGCCGCAGAUUGAUUUGCUCAAUUCCGCUUCAUAAAUGGCGAUUAUGUCACUCUCCAAUCGGGCCAGACCCACCUAUAAUUUCUUCCAAUCGUUCCUCCACCAUCUCCUCUUUCAAAUUCAACCCUACAAUAGUUUCGAAACCACCCGCAGUUUUCUCAAUCUCCCCGUAAAUCACCGCCAAAAUUCCAUGCCAUUUUCAUCUCAAUCACUUUCAAUUCAACCCCACCAAGUCUUAACUGAUUCUUCUACACAGAACCUUGUCAAUGAACUUUCCCGCGUUCUCAGUGACUACAGAAGCCCAGGCCACGACCUUGAUUCAGCUCUCACCCCAUUUGUUUCGGAAAUCAAUGCAAAUUUGGUCGAACAAGUAUUGAAGAGAUGUAAAAAUCUUGGAUUUUCUGCGCAAAGAUUCUUCCAUUGGGCUCAGAAAAUUCCGGGGUUUGAGCAUAGUAGAGAAGCUCAUCAUAUUCUUGUAGAUAUCUUGGGAAGCAGCAGACAAUUCCCAUUGCUUUGGGAUUUUUUAGUAGAGAUGAAAAGGGCUGAAUCUUUUUAUAUAAGCCAAGAAAUAUUCUGGGUUGUUUUUAGGGCUUAUAGUAGGGCUAAUUUACCUGCUGAUGCUAUAAGGGCUUUCAAUAAGAUGUCUGAUUUUGGAAUUAGGCCUUGUGUAGAUGAUCUGGAUCAGCUUUUGUUUAUACUGUGCAAAAAGAAGCAUGUGAAGCAUGCCCAGGAUUUUUUCGACAGAGUUAAAGGCCAUUUUACCCUGACAGUGAAAUCUUAUAGCAUUUUGAUUAGGGGUUGGGGUGAGAUUGGAGAGUCAAGUAACGGUCAGAGGCUAUUUGAUGAAAUGCUCGAGAGAGGGUGUGGAGUGGAUUUACUUGCUUGGAAUAGUAUGUUGGACUCUUUAUGUAAGGGACAGAAGGUAAAUGAGGCGUACGAAUUGUUCCAAGGGAUGAGGCAUAAGGGGCUAGAACCAGAUGCAUACACAUACUCAAUAUUUAUUCGUGCUUCGUGUGAAGCAAAUAAUCUUCACUCAGCCUUUAGGGUCCUCGAUUCUAUGAGAAAGUAUGAUCUUGUCCCUAAUGUGUUUACUUACAACUGUGUUAUCAAGAAGCUUUGUACGAAUGAUAAGGUGGAUGAAGCUUACGAGCUUCUAGAUGAGAUGAUUGAGAGAAGGGUUAGUCCGGAUACUUGGAGUUAUAAUACUAUUUUGGCUUUUCAUUGUGACCAUAACGAAGUUAAUAAGGCACUAAGGCUAAUUUCAAGAAUGGAACAAGAUGCUUGCCAACCCGACAGGCAUACAUAUAAUAUGGUGCUUAAAAUGCUCAUCAGAAUAGGAAGGUUUGAUAGAGUUGAGAAAGUUUGGGAUUACAUGGAAGAGAGAGGAUUUUAUCCUUCAGUUUCGACAUAUGCUGUCAUGAUUCAUGGUCUUUGUAAGAAGAAAGGGAAACUCGAAGAAGCGUGUAAAUACUUUGAAAUGAUGAUUGACGGAGGGAUCCCACCAUACACUACAACAUGUGAGUUGUUGAAGAACAAACUUGUAGGGAUGGGAUUGGCCGAGAUUACAGAUAUAUUAGCAGAAAAGAUGGAAAGAAGCACUUCUUGUUCGAUACAAGAGCUAUCGACCAUCAUGAGAGGUAACAGGGCAUACGCAAGGGUGAAAACUGAAGAGGAAUGGUCUGAAGAAAGUGAUUAAUAUUCUGACAAAAGCGUUGAGCGAGAGAGUACUUUAACACAAUAUGGAAAACCGUGUGAAAAUGACAUUAAGUUGCGAAUGGAUGGAGACUGUCCUGCACUGCAUGGUAUUUACGGUGGUACCAAUAUGUGUUCUGGAGUGUUCUGAUGCACAAAGACUGAGGCCAGAGAUGCGGAGACUUAGCAGAAUUAUUGAAUGGAAACCUUGCUAUAGGUGUCCUCAAGGGAAAUCAAGUGAUUACUUUUUCUCUAUUUCUGUUUAAAAUAUUGUUUUAAACAAGCCUUCCUAAUUUACAUCUUAGUUGGGAUUAUAAUUCCUUUUCAAUUUUGGAGCAAGUUCCAAAAGUAUUUGUUCCAUUAUGUAAAUCCCAUUCAAAUCUUGGAUAUCACCGACCAAAACCCUGGAAAAUCCUUCCCCUUUGUAUGGUUCCAAAGACUAAUGCAAGGGAAAUGAAUAUGCAAUCAUAACUAGGGGAUACAUUUUGAAUUUGCACAUUGUCUUCCUUUAUUUAUUUUUCAAAAUGUUUGAUCUUAUUUAAAGAAUAUCUAAUUCAAUUUCUGUUUGAUGGAGACAAGAACUGCUGAAAGUUAGUUUCCCUAGUUUAUUGUUCCUGUCCCUUUCCUCACCGAAAUUCAGGAUUCUAUGAAACCUAAAUAUUUGAAUGAUUUUCUUAAUGUUAAUCACAAUUUUAGUUAUAUACUAAGAUUAAUUUCUCUUCCUUUGUUUACUUUCCAAUGCUGGCAUUUUGAAUUUGUUUUCUUGUUUAUGUUGACAAGCUGCAGCCUGCAUUCAAGUGUGUUACUAUUGUGGGCUCUAUCAGAUGAGAUGGUAUGUGCGUACAAUUUAUGAUUUUUUAUUUAUUACCAGCAUUUACCUUUUCCAAAUGUCGCGAAAAUUGACAACUGCUUAUGAAGUAUAGAAUGAGGACCAUAGUAUAUUCCACCACACCAUUUUAUAAGCCACUUGAUCGAUCCUAUUGCAGUUAACCAUUGAGAACGCUCCCUGGGAAAGUGUGAAUCAAGCCUCUCUUGAUAUGUCUGCCUUUCAUCAAUCUACGAUCUCACUUGCUCCAUCAAAUUUUUUGCAAUAUGUAGGAAUAAAAGUUUUCAUUUAUAGAGUACUAUGUCGCCUUUUGUGCUGAUGAAUGUUUAACCUUUUGUUUUGUACUGUUAAAGCUGAAAUAACCCGCGUCACCAAUUCAAAAUCCUCUGCAAUCUUCAAGCAUCUCAACCACGAUAUUAAUCCAGUACUAAAGACAGUUAAAUCUCUCUGACCAUUGAUAUCAAAUGAAUGCUAAACAUGUCUCCAGGUCUAUUGGCUUGCGCCAGUUGAAUUUUCUUGACGACUUGCUAGUUUUGCAUUAGAAAUAAAAUUUAAUUGUUGCAGCAUGGACAGACCAUCAAGGGAAGGAAGUCAGCAACACUAACAUUAGCAAUAGCCAACACAAUUUUUGCCAAACUAUCAUUUUCCCUUUAUCACAACCCAUGGCAUCCGUCUUCUCAAUUUGCCCACUCCAAUUAAUAAAAAACCUUGCAACACUUUCUCUUUCGCCAGAAAAUGCUAUUAUACUUUACAGCUGCAAUGCAAUCAUGGAAAAUUAAUUAUGAUGUAAACCUAGAGUAGGCAGAAACAUAGUAAAAAUUCAAAACUUAACUUUACAUCAAAAUAGAAACUAGAAAGAUAGAGAGAGAGAGAGGCUAACCAUCAUACUUUAAUUGCCAGCCUUCAUGGGGUUCAUACCCACUGGAAUCUGAAUGUUGGGUGCUUAUCCUAGCUGCAUGUUAGGAUUAACUUCUGUUAAUUUCUUUAGGUAAAUUCCAAACCAGAGAUUACUUGAAUUAUUUAAUCCUACACAUAGGCAACAAAUUCAGAUUGAAGGGGUGUAUGCAGGUUUUUGUUUUCAAAUUUGGCGUGGUUUGAUCUUUCUCUCUCAGUCAAUUUUGACUGGCUUCCAAUGCAGACAUUUGCAUUUGGUUUUUGUUCUUGAAAUGCUGCAGCACAUUAUCUAUUGCUUAUGAUUGACUUCACCCCUUAUCACUUUUUUCCCAUUUAUUGUUUUAAUACACUUUCAGUCUGAUGAUUGUAGUUGUGUGAUGGUGUUGGAGUUGCUUGCUUGCUGAACGCUACUCUUGUUUUGCCCAAAUUUGAAGUGGCUGCAUAUUGGAACGAAUCCAGGUAAGCGAUAGUUGUGAGUCUAUGGACAAAGGACUAUUCUUUUGCAUUUACAGGAUUUUGUCACUGAAGUAAUUUUAAAAAACUAGUCUGUAGAGUGCAGUCCCUUAAGCUAAAGUUAGGUGAAGUAAAUUGAUGUCUUUUAACCCAAGGGAAGAAAUUUCCUGCCUCACUUUCUCGUGUUAGAGACUUGGAACAUGAACAAUACCUCGGAGAAUUUCAUUUACUUAAAUGAAACUAUCCAUAUAUGUAAAUCUCUCUUGAAAGCUCCAAGAUUCCCUCUCUCUCAAAUAAUUCUCGUCUUUGGUAUGUUCUCUCAAUUAAUACGACUUAAUUAGGGUAGGGUUGCUUGGAUAUUAUUAUGUGGAUGAGAAACAUUCAGCAGUCUGCUCACACAAGGAAAUCUACAUCUUCAAUUUCCUUUGCAAUUUUCAUUCAUUCGAAGCAAGCAACAGUAGCCUAAAUUAUUAUUUUACAAUGCUGUGGAUUUGGAGAUGUAUUUGGUGUAGACCUUUUUCAUCCAACAAAUGAGCAGCUUUAAAAGAGUUGCCUGGAGAGAUUGCAUCAAAAGAACCCUUUCAUGGUGAUUGUAGCAAACGUAAAGGUUUAUAUGACUAUGUUGAAAGUGUGUUUCCUUCCCUUUUGGAGCAUCGUUUUAUUUCAUUCACGCCAGCAAUGAGUCAAAGAAGGGAUAGGUACAACUAUGUAUUCUUGAAUUCCUUUGUUUUCGUAAAAAGUGUCUUAUCAUAAUUAACUUACAUGUAACACAGUUUCUAAUCAACCUUGCUUUCUUCUCUGCUCAUUUAUUCUUGCGGAGGCACAAAUUAUAUUUAUUCUCUGUUGUCUUGUUCUAUUUGUGUUGUUUUGGGUGGUGGUUGGUAGGGUGUGUUUGGUGGUUACGAUCUUGGGGAUCUAAAACAUUGAGGAUUUUCAUAAUGAAUUCGUAAAAUCAAGUUCAUUGCCGAUCUAUUUGUUCUAUUCCAAAUAAUUUCCCUUAAACCGGCUUUUUUAGUGGAAGAUUACCUUCGACAUAAAUGAUAAUUCUGGCUAUGAUGGUAGAAAAAUAGAUUAUUUAUUUGUUUAUUAUUUUUGGGAAAAAGGGACAUGCUGAACUACUCGGACAUAUCAUGCCACAUUCUUUCAUUGAGUUCUUGCUCUUUACUAUGCAUUUGCAAUUUUUGCAAGAUGUGUUAAUCAAGAUCCCAGAGUGCUUAUAAUAAUUAAUUUUGUUGGUAUCCACUGUAUGCGAAAGCUGUAUUCUGUCAGGUAUGUUAUAAUGCUCUGUGCUUAACCGGCACGUUGGAGAAGAAAGCGUCUGAGCUUCUAGAUGCUAUACCUGAGCCCUUCCUUUCACCUCACCUUCGGCCUAAUCUUUCUCCUGCUUCUAUGCAAGCCAUAUUUGCAGCACGAGGAGACCGGAAAGCCUGGACUGUAGAACAGGCUCGUAUAUGGAGAAACCCGGGUAAGUGUCCCCUCACUCUAAAUGAAACGGCUCUCAUCCUUCGAGCUCUUUCUAUCCCAACAGACAAAUAUUUAUUUGGAAGCCGGGGGUGGCCUGAUGGAACUCGAAGAGUUAACUUCAGUCUACACCAACGUUUUUACCAAGUCAACCCUUCAUAGUGUUGAGGACUUUGCAAACAUGCAUGGAAACACGAAAGCUGCACUGGAUUAUUAUUUGUCCAUCAGCAGUGAUUCAUAUGUGGCCACUUAUUUCGGACAUAUGGAUAAAUGGUUGCAGCAAUGCGUGGUUUCAAGGGAUUGCCGAGAACACUUUUCUUAAGCCGGAGGGGUUUUGCUGUGUUGACUUCUCAGGGGCUCAAGGGGAAGGCACUGCUCGAAGCGCUAUGGAAAGUUCAUAGAGAUGAGUUUGUAAUGGGUGUGGGAUCUGCUUUCGUGAAUUCAAGUUAUGAGAUUGGUUUCCUAAUAUUCGUAUUCCUUUCAUAAGAUUGUGGGUUAGUUAAGAAUCUAUAGCUUUUAUUAGAUUAUAAGUUGUGAUACUUAGCUUUUGAAAUGUGUAGAUACUAAGAGAGGAAAAGUAGACAAGAUCAUAUAUGUGUGAUAGUUUGAUCAACUUAUUAAAAAGUAUACAAGGUCGUAUAGGUGUGAUAGCUUGAUCAAUUUAUAAGUAAUUAAAAACUUUGUCAAACAUGCACGAAGGAUGAGCAUGAUUCGAUUUUAUUUAAUUUCCC